CGGCGUGUAGCUCAGCAAGCAGAGCACCGGGCUUCUCACCCGGAGGGCGCGGGGGCAGGGCCCGCCACGUCGG
rnacentral:tRNA from 1 species